GGAGGGUGCAAGCGUUAAUCGGAAUUACUGGGCGUAAAGCGCGCGUAGGUGGCUUGAUUAGCCGGUUGUGAAAGCCCCGGGCUCAACCUGGGAACGGCAUCCGGAACUGUCAGGCUAGAGUGCAGGAGAGGAAGGUAGAAUUCCCGGUGUAGCGGUGAAAUGCGUAGAGAUCGGGAGGAAUACCAGUGGCGAAGGCGGCCUUCUGGACUGACACUGACACUGAGGUGCGAAAGCGUGGGUAGCAAACAGGAUUAGAUACCCUGGUAGUCCACGCCGUAAACGAUGUCGACCAGCCGUUGGGUGCCUAGCGCACUUUGUGGCGAAGUUAACGCGAUAAGUCGACCGCCUGGGGAGUACGGCCGCAAGGUUA
rnacentral:rRNA from 1 species